UUCUUCUUAGAGUAUAACAAAUGUGCUUCAACUCCAUUGGUCAGCUUCUUCCUCUAAUGCAGACGGGUUAAUGGAUUUUUCUUGUGCACAGUACAGCUUGUUUCUUAAUAUUAAUUUCAACUUCAGGUUAUUGUGCAAAUUGUGUCCUAGCUGGAAAUUGAACCACGUUGACCACUUCUUUAUCUCCAGUGGCUAUUGGCAGUUCCUUUCCUGGUGGAGGCUUGGCAGGCAUUACGCAAAUUUGAUCCCACUCAUGAAUGAAAUGUUUCAGUGUUUCUUGCUGUAAUGGCCGGUUCUG